rnacentral:rRNA from 1 species
GAUGAACGCUAGCGGCAUGCUUUACACAUGCAAGUCGAACGAUCCUUGUUGUUAACGGAUAUGAGAGCUUGCUCAAAUUGAAGAUUACAACGCUGGAUAGUGGCAAACGGGUGAGUAACGCGUAGGAACUUUCUCUAAGUGGGGGAUAGCUAGUCGAAAGAUUAGGUAAUACCCCAUGUGACCGCAAGGUUAAAGGAGCAAUUCGCUUAGAGUGAGGCCUGCGUCCCAUCAGCUAGUUGGUAAGGUAAUUGCUUACCAAGGCUAAGACGGGUAGCUGGUCUGAGAGGAUGAUCAGCCACACUGGGACUGCGACACGGCCCAGACACCUACGGGUGGCAGCAGUGGGGAAUUUUCGGCAAUGGGCGAAAGCCUGACCGAGCAAUGCCGCGUGCAGGAUGAAGGCCCUAUGGGUUGUAAACUGCUGUGGAGUCUAUCUAAAUAAAUGAAGAAAACUCUAGAAAGAGGUUGCUAACUCUG